rnacentral:rRNA from 1 species
GGCGUCUAUACAGCUAGCUUCCCUGCAGCCAGUCAGACCAGACAGGCAGAGACUCCCCCGCGCUCUACGAGUACUCACAGAGUCAGAGUACCGGUAAGAAGGACAGGAGCGGGGAGGAGAGGAGAGGAGAUCGAUGGCGAGCAGCGUGGGGGGAGAUGCUGGGGAAGGGGAGUGGCUCAAGGUCGCCGAGCUGAGGGCCAUGGCGGAAGCCCAGGACCCGCAUGUCCAGGAGGUGGACAACCUGACGCUCCGGCGGUUCCUGCGGGCGCGUGGCCAUGCCGUCGGCAAGGCCUCGGCGAUGCUCCUCAAGUUCGUGGCGUGGAGGCGGGAGGCCGUGCCCGGUGGCGUCGUGCCGGCGGAGCUGGUGCGGACGGAGCUGUCGCACGAGAUGGCCUACAUGGGCGGAGCCGACCGCGCCGGCCGCCCCGUCAUGCUCGCCUUCCCCGCCAAGCACUUCUCUGCCACCCGCGACAUGGCCGGCUUCAAGCGCUAUAUUGUCUACUUGUUCGACGCCAUGUGUGCCAGGAUCCCUCGAGGGCAGGAGAAGUUUCUGUGCGUCGUGGAUCUAAAGGGGUGGGGGUACGCCAACUGCGACGUCCGCGCCUACAUCGCGGCCAUAGAGAUCCUGCAAAACUACUACCCGGAGAGGCUGGGCAAGGCGCUCAUGAUCCAUGUGCCCUACCUGUUCAUGAAGGCGUGGAAGCUGGUCCAGCCCUUCAUCGACGCCAACACCAGGGACAAGUUCGUGUUCGUGGACGACAAGAGCUUGGAGGAGACGCUGCGGCGGGAGAUGGAGGACGGCCAGCUCCCGGAGAUGUACGGCGGGAAGAUGCCCAUUGUUCCCCUCGAGUAGAGUGAGGAGGUGCACGGAAGAGGAAUCGAUGUACCCGAAAUAAAUUAGCUAUGAAAGGUGAAUGAGACCAAAUUAUAUCUCAUCUAGAUGAGUUCUAGCAAAACUGAACAAAAUUAACCACGUGCGAUGUGGAUGUAACCAGGGGAGUGAGACGAGCGCAGCUUGCUCUCACACUCUUGCAGCGUUGUGACUGCUUCGUACGUGUGGCCAGCCCAGCCGGUGCUAACGUCGACGGAUCAAUAAUACGGAAGAACUCUAUGGUACUUAGUGGUAGGUAUAUCGGAGUAUGUCUGAUCACGUGAAGAUACCACCUUUUGUUGUAUCACAUAUCUGUGGGUCUCUGUUUCUCUCGUGUAGUUGUGGUCGACGAAUGGGAAACUACUGUACC